AGUGAACGCUGGCGGUAGGCCUAACACAUGCAAGUCGAACGGCAGCACAGUAAGAGCUUGCUCUUACGGGUGGCGAGUGGCGGACGGGUGAGGAAUACAUCGGAAUCUACUUUUUCGUGGGGGAUAACGUAGGGAAACUUACGCUAAUACCGCAUACGACCUACGGGUGAAAGCAGGGGAUCUUCGGACCUUGCGCGAUUGAAUGAGCCGAUGUCGGAUUAGCUAGUUGGCGGGGUAAAGGCCCACCAAGGCGACGAUCCGUAGCUGGUCUGAGAGGAUGAUCAGCCACACUGGAACUGAGACACGGUCCAGACUCCUACGGGAGGCAGCAGUGGGGAAUAUUGGACAAUGGGCGCAAGCCUGAUCCAGCCAUACCGCGUGGGUGAAGAAGGCCUUCGGGUUGGAAAGCCCUUUUGUUGGGAAAGAAAAGCAGCAGGUUAAUACCCCGCUGUUCUGACGGGACCCAAAGAAUAAGCACCGGCUAACUUCG
rnacentral:rRNA from 1 species